AAAGGAGGGAAAGGAGACCCUGCUAAUUAUACGGCAACCUUGGAAUCGGUUUCUCCCGCUGAACUAGAGGACAAGCCACACACCUGCAGAACUUUACCAGCAGGAGCAGUGCCGGGGCCCAACUCAGGCAGCCAGCUCUGCUAAUGAACCCAGAAAAAACGCACAAACUUGUUUUCCCUCCAAGAUAGAGACGACACAGUGGGGUUUUCAUAAGUGUGUGGUGUGGAGGCAGCCAGGUGUAGCCACUGCACAAAUGCGGUGGGAACACUCUCGUAUGAUAAAAUCAAAGACGCCUGCUUCCACACGACAGAUCCAGGAAACUGCAGGAUAGAGUCAUGCUCGUGUGCCCGGGCAGGGAGAGCUGGUUCACCCAUGUCUGAACACUGCGACACCAGUUCUCCUCCAAACAUCUUGGGCUACUUAAAUGCAAACACAAAUUCAGGAAAGCCCGGAGGCCUGGUAUAGAUGUUUUCAUCAAAAAUUUCACCAUGCUGUGUCAGAAAUCAGAAGAUAGAAUUUAAAACCAUCCCGUUUCCUCUGCAGAAAGCUUUUCAAGAAGAUACACUCGGAAUUAGCAAUAUUUCCAC
rnacentral:lncRNA from 1 species